rnacentral:misc_RNA from 1 species
AGAUAUACUUUUUUGUGGCACAUAUUUGUAACUUUAAACAUACAUUAGUAGGAGAACAAAAAAUCAAAGCAAAUUUGAUUAAAGUCGGACCAAGGCAUCAUCCAUUUCUAAAAGUGAUAACUGGUUUUAUUUUCUUCCCAAAAAUGCCGUACAAAAAUACAUAUUUUACUUUUGGAGUUUUAAAUAAGAGAUCUAAUUAACUAUUCAAUCAUUACUACAAAUAAUAACUGCUUAAUUGUUUGCAUCCAGAGCUGUGAAAACAACGUGUAGUGCGUGUAGAAUUUUAGUGGACCACUCGAAUUAUUAUUCAAAAAUCUUUGUAAUGUCCGUUUUGCACUUUACGGAUAUUGAAUUUUUAGAAAAUAAUGUGUGGUGCGGAAUAAUAUACAAUUAAUCAACAUGGCUUGGACAUACAGACAGAUUUUUAUAUGCUUCAGAUGAUUAUAUUAUAAAUUGUUGUAAUAAGUUUUGAUUUAAAAAUGUAUAGAAUUAUUUUAAAGGUUUUGUGAAAUAAAUAAAAUUUAGUUUACUUUUUACAUGUAUUAUUAAAAUUAUUAUAUGUAAAUGAUAAAAUUAAUUAAAUGGAAGUAAUUUUUUUGUAUUGUACAUAAUAAAUAAUUUUGUAAGUUAUGUUGCUAAAAAAUAAUCAUAAUAAAUAUUUUUAUUCAUAAUGAUAUUUAAGCAUUUGUAAAGGUUUUUAAUGUAAUAGACAAUUAUAACAAAAUUAUAAAAACUGUUUCCUGUUGACAUGACCAAAAUAUUGAAAGAAAAUUAUUAAUUAAAAG